ensembl:lncRNA
UGGCAUCCAGCAAACUGAUUAGCUUUCCUCUAAUAUGACUCCACUUUGUAAUUACAGGAACCAGCUUCUCCUGGGGAGGGGGAUGCCUGGGUAAGAGGCUCAGAGACCAUCCUGACAUCACUGCAAUCGUGAUUUCACCAGGAUACUGUACUGCAAGGAUCAUCCGAUGCUUUCUUCAUAAAUGGGACUAUCACCUGCAAUUCAGUGUGUGAAAAAUGUGAUUGACCUUCCCUAUUUCCUCAGAGAGCAACUAUGGCUCAGAAUGAAAUGCUGCCUUUGGAAUUAACCCAUCUGUAAUGGCAAGGAUCAUCUCCAAGCCCAUCAUUUCUGAAAUGCUUUUUUACUGGUGAAGGGGCAGUCUUCCGGGGCAAGUCCCUGAGCAGUGUCUUCUGGGCAAAAGACUAUGGUGAGGUCUGCCAGCACCCAGCCUGGGACAGAAGUCCACAGCAGCGGAGCCAGAGCUCUGAGGAGGCACUGCAGGUUCCCUCCCCGAUCCAGUCAAAAGAACCUGAUCUGCUCUGAAAGCCAGGAUUUUCUUCCAGAAUAUCAAGGGUCUGGUUCUUUUGGGCCCAACUGCAAAUCCAGGAGCCUUUGUCUGUAUUCUACAGAGCUCUGUCACUGCAAACAGACUCCUUUGGUUUCCAAGUAAGUCAAGCCCAGGACUUGUCCUGUGUUCUCUCCCUUUAUAUUUGUAUUACUGUUCCAUUACAUACAGCAGGGUGCUUCAGAGAGGAGAUGAAAAGAAGCUUGGAAGUUUGCCUCUAUAAAUGUGUGAAUUUAUUUUUAAACCUCUUGAAUUAUUUACUUUGUCUGCCUUUUUCAAUGACAGGUGAAUAUGUUUGUGACUUGUUCUCUUUCCCAAGGAAGCACUUGGUUGAAGUGAAUUAAUUACGUGUAGAGUAAAUGCAGCUGAUGUUAAUUUUCAAGUCAAGUUUUAGCUUUGCUGAAAUUUCAGAAAGAAAGUAGUGUUUUAUAAAUUAAAUGCUGCUUUGUGUGCUUUCUUUUUAAAGAAGGCUUGGCAUCUGGAAAGAAAGCAGGGAGAGAAAACAAACAUACUAAAUGAUGGAAACUCGUCUUUAAGGAUAUACUCCAUCAGCUAUCAGUACACAACUGUGAGAGAUCCAUGUGGCAGCUCAUCAACAGUAUAUUGAGGCUCCAGCAGCACCCCAACACCUUUGGCAGGAAUUGGUUUCAGUGGCAAAUUGCUGGUCUCUGGCAGGAGCUGCUGCUUUGACCUGACAGGGUGAUUAGAUUGGUUGCUCCUCUCUGUAACAGUACAUGCCAUGUGCUCUACCAGGAGAACCUCAUUCUUCUUCAGAGUGGUGUAGAUUCUGAUCCCAUGAGAGCUGAACUGACAGGAUCCUGGGCUGCCAGGCAUUGCCAGUGGGAUAGAUGAACCCUAGUUUCCCUUUGCUGUUCCAUCUGAGGCUCUAGUGAGCUUUUCAGAUCCUCUCUCCAGAAGGUUGGGCUGAUCUUAGAAUAACUCCUGUGGUGUGAGUUGUCUUGGGAGCACAGCACUUAGCUGGAUUGGUGCAGUGUGUUGAGACAGUGGCUCUGGAUCUGGCUGGACUCUCCUGAGGCAGGAGAUGCCCUGCAGGUCCCCAGCAGACAGGCCAGUUGUUAGAACAAUGAUUGUGGCAGAUGCUUGC